GAUGAACGCUGGCGGCGUGCCUAAUACAUGCAAGUCGAGCGAACAGACGAGGAGCUUGCUCCUCUGACGUUAGCGGCGGACGGGUGAGUAACACGUGGAUAACCUACCUAUAAGACUGGGAUAACUUCGGGAAACCGGAGCUAAUACCGGAUAACAUGUUGAACUGCAUGGUUCAACAGUGAAAGACGGUCUUGCUGUCACUUAUAGAUGGAUCCGCGCCGCAUUAGCUAGUUGGUAAGGUAACGGCUUACCAACGCAACGAUGCGUAGCCGACCUGAGAGGGUGAUCGGCCACACUGGAACUGAGACACGGUCCAGACUCCUACGGGAGGCAGCAGUAGGGAAUCUUCCGCAAUGGGCGAAAGCCUGACGGAGCAACGCCGCGUGAGUGAAGAAGGUCUUCGGAUCGUAAAACUCUGUUAUUAGGGAAGAACAAAUGUGUAAGUAACUAUGCACGUCUUGACGGUACCUAAUCAGAAAGCCACGGCUAACUACGUG
rnacentral:rRNA from 1 species